UAGGGAAUCUUCGGCAAUGGGGGGAACCCUGACCGAGCAACGCCGCGUGAGUGAAGAAGGUUUUCGGAUCGUAAAGCUCUGUUGUUAAGGAAGAACGAGUGUGAGAAUGGAAAGUUCAUACUGUGACGGUACUUAACCAGAAAGGGACGGCUAACUACGUGCCAGCAGCCGCGGUAAUACGUAGGUCCCGAGCGUUGUCCGGAUUUAUUGGGCGUAAAGCGAGCGCAGGCGGUUAGAAAAGUCUGAAGUGAAAGGCAGUGGCUCAACCAUUGUAGGCUUUGGAAACUGUUUAACUUGAGUGCAGAAGGGGAGAGUGGAAUUCCAUGUGUAGCGGUGAAAUGCGUAGAUAUAUGGAGGAACACCGGUGGCGAAAGCGGCUCUCUGGUCUGCAACUGACGCUGAGGCUCGAAAGCAUGGGUAGCGAACAGGAUUAGAUACCCUGGUAGUCCAUGCCGUAAACGAUGAGUGCUAAGUGUUGGGAGGUUUCCGCCUCUCAGUGCUGCAGCUAACGCAUUAAGCACUCCGCCUGGGGAGUACGACCGCAAGGUUG
rnacentral:rRNA from 1 species